ACUCCUACGGGAGGCAGCAGUGGGGAAUAUUGCACAAUGGGCGCAAGCCUGAUGCAGCCAUGCCGCGUGUGUGAAGAAGGCCUUCGGGUUGUAAAGACUUUCAGUCGUGAGGAAGGUAGUGUAGUUAAUAGGCCUGCUAUAUUUGACGUUAGCGAACAAGAGAAGCGACCGCUAACUCCGUGCCAGCAGCCGCGGUAAUACGGAGGGUGCGAGCGUUAAUCGGAAUUACUGGGCGUAAAGCGCAUGCAGGUGGUUUGUUAAGUCAGAUGUGAAAGCCCGGGGCUCAACCUCGGAAUUGCAUUGAACUUGGACAGACGU
rnacentral:rRNA from 1 species